rnacentral:pre_miRNA from 12 species
UACUGGAAGAUGCAAACAGUUCUGUGGUACAAUACCUCAGUCUUAUCAGGUGUUCUUUAAAAUCACCUGGAAAUGCUGAGGUUGCGUUUCACUGAACUCAGAAGCCUCAAGAUGACA